GUCGAGAAUCUUUCACAAUGGGGGCAACCCUGAUGGAGCGACGCCGCGUGGAGGAUAAGGUCUUCGGAUUGUAAACUCCUGUCAUGCGUGAACAAGGUUGCUUGGAUAAUACCUGAGCAAAUUGAUGGUAGCGCAAGAGGAAGAGACGGCUAACUCUGUGCCAGCAGCCGCGGUAAUACAGAGGUCUCAAGCGUUGUUCGGAAUCACUGGGCGUAAAGGGUGCGUAGGUGGCGUGGCAAGUCAGAUGUGAAAGCCCGGGGCUCAACCUCGGAACUGCAUCCGAUACUGCCAUGCUAGAGUACUGGAGGGGUGACCAGAAUUCUCGGUGUAGCAGUGAAAUGCGUAGAUAUCGAGAGGAAUACCAAAGGCGUAGGCAGGUCACUGGACAGUUACUGACACUGAGGCACGAAGGCCAGGGGAGCGAACGGGAUUAGAAACCCGAGUAGUCC
rnacentral:rRNA from 1 species